AUUUAAAUGAAGUCGGGCGAUUCCGGGGCUGUUUCAUGUUAAACAAAAAGGAUCUUACUCUUUAACAAAACGGUUGACCUCUGAAGGGACCCUUUCCAUAUUGUCAGACAUUCAGAACAAUAAUCUGAGCAUGACAGUGGCAAAACAAGCACUUUGGUGGAUGUAAAUUAACGGUGUGCAAUUGCCCAAUAACUUAAAUUGUAGCUUGUUUCGCCGCUGCCGACUGCAGCAAUCUCACUU